CCAUUUGGAUCCAUUAACCAUAUUUCUCUCGGUAGUUCUUUAGUGACAUUCAUCUCUAUAAGCAUUCGAGCAUAUGAUACUCUAAUUUGCUUGGUUGUGCAUUCAUCCGCAAAGAUAGGCUUCCAAGACAUUUGCAAUUCUGUUUAAUGGUCUCAUUCCCCAACAAGACAUGGGAAGCUUAGGAAACUUUACCCAUAGAGGGAUAUCAACAGGGAAUUCCUCCGUAAAGUCAAAGUCUGGAUACCAUUGCUUAAGGAUCAUGGGUCUGUUUGCUAUAGAGUAAGGUCCUGCACAUAGGAUUUCCUUAGCAUCAGCAAUUAUUCUGAACUUAACUAUGUAGUACCCUUCCACAUGAUAGAAC
rnacentral:lncRNA from 1 species